rnacentral:rRNA from 1 species
GAUGAACGCUGGCGGCGUGCCUAAUACAUGCAAGUCGAGCGAACGGACGAGAAGCUUGCUUCUCUGAUGUUAGCGGCGGACGUGUGAGUAACACGUGGAUAACCUACCUAUAAGACUGGGAUAACUUCGGGAAACCGGAGCUAAUACCGGAUAAUAUUUUGAACCGCAUGGUUCAAAAGUGAAAGACGGUCUUGCUGUCACUUAGAGAUGGAUCCGCGCUGCAUUAGCUAGUUGUUAAGGUAACGGCUUACCAAGGCAACGAUGCAUAGCCGACCUGAGAGGGUGAUCGGCCACACUGGAACUGAGACACGGUCCAGACUCCUACGGGAGGCAGCAGUAGGGAAUCUUCCGCAAUGGGCGAAAGCCUGACGGAGCAACGCCGCGUGAGUGAUGAAGGUCUUCGGAUCGUAAAACUCUGUUAUUAGGGAAGAACAUAUGUGUAAGUAACUGUGCACAUCUUGACGGUACCUAAUCAGAAAGCCACGGCUAACUACGUG